CCAGACUCCUACGGGAGGCAGCAGUGGGGAAUAUUGCACAAUGGGCGGAAGCCUGAUGCAGCAACGCCGCGUGCGGGAUGACGGCCUUCGGGUUGUAAACCGCUUUCGCCUGUGACGAAGCGUGAGUGACGGUAAUGGGUAAAGAAGCACCGGCUAACUACGUGCCAGCAGCCGCGGUGAUACGUAGGGUGCGAGCGUUGUCCGGAUUUAUUGGGCGUAAAGGGCUCGUAGGUGGUUGAUCGCGUCGGAAGUGUAAUCUUGGGGCUUAACCCUGAGCGGGCUUUCGAUACGGGUUGACUUGAGGAAGGUAGGGGAGAAUGGAAUUCCUGGUGGAGCGGUGGAAUGCGCAGAUAUCAGGAGGAACACCAGUGGCGAAGGCGGUUCUCUGGGCCUUUCCUGACGCUGAGGAGCGAAAGCGUGGGGAGCGAACAGGCUUAGAUACCCUGGUAGUCCACGCUGUAAACGGUGGGUACUAGGUGUGGGGUCCAUUCCACGGGUUCCGUGCCGUAGCUAACGCUUUAAGUACCCCGCCUGGGGAGUGCGGCCGCAAGGCUAAAACUCAAAGGAAUUGACGGGGGCCCGCACAAG
rnacentral:rRNA from 1 species